UACGUAGGGGGCAAGCGUUGUCCGGAAUUAUUGGGCGUAAAGCGCGUGUAGGCGGUCCGGUAAGUCGGCUGUGAAAGUCCAGGGCUCAACCCUGGGAUGCCGGUCGAUACUGCCGGACUAGAGUUCGGAAGAGGCGAGUGGAAUUCCCGGUGUAGCGGUGAAAUGCGUAGAGGAUGUGGAGGAACACCGAUGGCGCAAGGCAGCCCCCUGGGACUAACACUGACGCUCAUGCACGAAAGGCGUGGGGAGCAAACG
rnacentral:rRNA from 1 species